rnacentral:rRNA from 1 species
UACGAAGGGGUGCUAGCGUUGCUCGGAAUCACUGGCGUAAAGCGCACGUAGGCGGAUUGCUAAGUCAGGGGUGAAAUCCUGGAGCUCAACUCCAGAACUGCCUUUGAUACUGGCGACCUUGAGUCCGGGAGAGGUGAGUGGAACUGCGAGUGUAGAGGUGAAAUUCGUAGAUAUUCGCAAGAACACCAGUGGCGAAGGCGGCUCACUGGCCCGGUACUGACGCUGAGGUGCGAAAGCGUGGGAGCAAACAGG